rnacentral:rRNA from 1 species
UACGUAGGGUGCAAGCGUUGUCCGGAAUCAUUGGGCGUAAAGAGCGUGUAGGCGGCUCGAUCAGUCUGAUGUGAAACCCCAGGGCUCAACCCUGGGACUGCGUCUGAAACUGCCGGUCUAGGGACUCGGAGGGGCUAGUGGAAUUCCUGGUGGAGCAGUGAAAUGCGUAGAUAUCAGGAGGAACACCAACGGCGAAGGCAGCUAGCUGGACGAGAUCCGACGCUCAGGCUCGAAAGUAUGGGGAGCAAAAAGG